rnacentral:rRNA from 1 species
GACGAACGCUGGCGGCGUGCUUAACACAUGCAAGUCGAACGGAAAGGCCCUGCUUUUGUGGGGUGCUCGAGUGGCGAACGGGUGAGUAACACGUGAGUAACCUGCCCUUGACUUUGGGAUAACUUCAGGAAACUGGGGCUAAUACCGGAUAGGAGCUCCUGCUGCAUGGUGGGGGUUGGAAAGUUUCGGCGGUUGGGGAUGGACUCGCGGCUUAUCAGCUUGUUGGUGGGGUAGUGGCUUACCAAGGCUUUGACGGGUAGCCGGCCUGAGAGGGUGACCGGCCACAUGGGGACUGAGAUACGGCCCAGACUCCUACGGGAGGCAGCAGUGGGGAAUAUUGCACAAUGGGCGGAAGCCUGAUGCAGCAACGCCGCGUGCGGGAUGACGGACUUCGGGUUGUAAACCGCUUUCGCCUGUGACGAAGCGUGAGUGACGGUAAUGGGUAAAGAAGCACCGGCUAACUACGUG